AGUGAACGCUGGCGGUAGGCCUAACACAUGCAAGUCGAACGGCAGCACAGUAAGAGCUUGCUCUUACGGGUGGCGAGUGGCGGACGGGUGGGGAAUACAUCGGAAUCUACUUUUUCGUGGGGGAUAACGUAGGGAAACUUACGCUAAUACCGCAUACGACCUACGGGUGAAAGCAGGGGAUCUUCGGACCUUGCGCGAUUGAAUGAGCCGAUGUCGGAUUAGCUAGUUGGCGGGGUAAAGGCCCACCAAGGCGACGAUCCGUAGCUGGUCUGAGAGGAUGAUCAGCCACACUGGAACUGAGACACGGUCCAGACUCCUACGGGAGGCAGUAGUGGGGAAUAUUGGACAAUGGGCGCAAGCCUGAUCCAGCCAUACCGCGUGGGUGAAGAAGGCCUUCGGGUUGUAAAGCCCUUUUGUUGGGAAAGAAAAGCAGCAGGUUAAUACCCCGCUGUUCUGACGGUACCCAAAGAAUAAGCACCGGCUAACUUCGUG
rnacentral:rRNA from 1 species